UACGUAGGGCGCAAGCGUUGUCCGGAAUUAUUGGGCGUAAAGAGCUCGUAGGUGGUUUGUCGCGUUGUUCGUGAAAACUCACAGCUCAACUGUGGGCGUGCGGGCGAUACGGGCAGACUGGAGUACUGCAGGGGAGACUGGAAUUCCUGGUGUAGCGGUGGAAUGCGCAGAUAUCAGGAGGAACACCGGUGGCGAAGGCGGGUCUCUGGGCAGUAACUGACGCUGAGGAGCGAAAGCGUGGGGAGCGAACAGG
rnacentral:rRNA from 1 species